rnacentral:tRNA from 1 species
GAAGUAAGAUGUUCAAGUAAAAGCUGCUAACUUUUUUCUUUUAAUGGUUAAACUCCAUUUAUACUUCU